UUCUGUCUGAAUUGGUUUGCUAACUGACGGUUUAGUUACGUAGUGAGUUAACUGCACCGCAGCGUUAGCAAGAUGUGGCCGUCAACAGCCUCUGCUAAUGUCAUGAGCGCCGUUAACUUCACCACUCCCUCUCCCCCUCUCUCCUCUCCCCCUUUCUCUAAAAGGGGUGAGGUGGAUUACUGCCCCUCUUUUCCACUUGGAGAAAGUGAACAGUCCCUUGAGAAGAUGAGGGUCGAACUCCUUUCAGAUGUCAAAAAGCGCAACAACAGAGAGACAGUUCGGGCUAAGAUGGACAAAACAUUUGCAUUAAGAAGACAAGAAGUCAUCUGUGAUGCUCCCAAGAUCAGCAAUGUACAGGAGAGAUGGCCUGCUCUUUUUGAUGCAGCUGAGAUAAACGCAGAGUUCAAGCGUAUCACAACCAUGCCUCUGCAGUCAAGGUUUCUGUCCUCCUCUCUGAAAGUCUGCUGAGAGUGUUUGCAAAGCGAUCAGGGGAGCAGGGCAAAAAGCUGAAAGACACAACUGCCAUGGCGACAGAUGACAUCGAUGCUGGAAGGGAGUCCCUCAUCAAAGGACUCUGCAUCUAUCUGAAUGAGAAUCCUGAUGUCUUGGUGCAGGAGUACAUGGACAUGACUGAAGCCACUGCACUGAGAGCCAUUGAGAAAACGACAGUGGGACUCUACGUCACCAGAGAGACGCCUGAUGUUGGCAUCAUCAUCGAGGGUGUGGUGGUUCUUCAGGAUCUGGAUAAUGUGGCCCUUGCAACAGCCAUGCUGUUUGGACUUUUUUACUGCUUGAACAUGAGUUACCCAUCACAGCUCCGCUACACUUUUGAGGUGAUUCAAAAGGUGGUAAUGGAGUUGGAUGUGACUCAACUCUCAAGAAAAGCUCAAAACUUGAAGACUAAACUGCUCCAGCUCUCUGUUGUGCUUGUGGGGUAGUUUGCUCCAGGUAAGAGGACAUGUAAAGUUGUUAAGUUCACACUUGUUCCUACGUUUUGGAGAUUUUCUGGUGAGCCAUCAGUAACCCACAAAAAAUCACAGCAUUCAUUGUUGACCGUUUAUUCUGUGACUGUUCUGUAAUUGCCAUGUGAACAGGGCCAGUUUGUUUCCCCUCUUCCUCUCUGCUUGAAGUUUUCUGAAUGGCAGCAUUAAGUUUAAAUAGUUCCACCCGGGCCAUGUGAAAUGGGAUGUUUUGUGUACGUCAGUUUGAAAUAUGAAUUUAAUACUUUUUCUAAGAAACUAAUUUGAAACAAGAUGUCACAGUAAGGUCAGUGUUGGGAUUUUUGACAC